GCCUUCAGUGGAUCAGGUGAGGCCCACCCGAAAGGGGAGGAUCAAUCUGCUUUACUCAGUCUACUGAUUCAAAUAUCAAUCUCAUCCAGAAAAACUCUCACGGACACACUCAGAAUAAGGUUUGGCCGAAUGUCUGGGCACUCUGUGGCCCAGUCAAGUUGACACAUAAAAUUAACCAUCACAUUGUGAUUACCACUGAGGGGUUCCAAAAUGACUUUCAGGACACAUGGACAAAUUUAGCAGCUGUGUGACCUUGGCGUCAAUUGAAUGCAACACAUAUCUAUUGAGUGCCAGUUAUGAGCUCAGUUCUGUGAAGUCAUGAAGAGGAAUGAGAAUCUCAGUUGCUGGGAGCCUCGGCUAAGGGCAGCGUGACAGGAAUCCAGUCACCUGCAUUGUGUUGACGUAGCCAUUUGCGGAAAGCCUGAGGAUUUUUACCUGGAACUGAGCCCAGCACCCCCACCUUGGGUGCCUUCAUUCAGGACCCAGACUUGGGCCAGAGGUCAGAUCUCAGCUAGGUCUAACUCCUGGCCACAGCGCAGAUCCACUUGAACAACACACACUGAGCACCUACCAUGUGCCAGAACUGUGCAAAGUGUGCACCCGGAGGUGAAUAAGACACAGCCCUUGGCCUCAGUGUGCUCUCAAUCAAGAAGCAGGCCUGUAACAAAAGAAGUCGGAGUGAUGUGAGCUGUCUUGGACUGUGCCAAGUUCAGGAAUGCAGAGGACGCAGGGAUUGCUUCUGUCUGGAGGAGGGGAGGUGGAGGCAUGUCUCCCAGCAGAGCUGAUGGCAAAUCAGGGUUUCAAAGACGGAACAACAACAACAACAAACUUGUGUGCUCUUGUGAGGUAAGCUGUACCUAUAAAAAUUUUGUACCUAUUUUUACAGAUGCUUGACAUUUACUUUUGAUUUUUCUAGAAAAGACAUGUUGAAAAAAAUUCAAUGGCAGAAUAAAUUGCAGCAAAUUAAAUAUUACAAUUUAAUUGCAAAAAGGCAAGUUAAAUUUGCAAGAUAACCAUCAUGAGACAUAAGACAGUGGUGUGUUGCUCGUGCAUUAGAAGAAUAUUUAGCAUUGUGGAAGGUCAGUAGGGAUAACUACGGAUUCAACUCCACGCUAAUGAGACCCACAGCAUUUGUACAAUAGCCUUCCUGCAUUUCUGUGUGUUUGAAACUUUAAUGACACCACCUUAAAACAUGGCCCAGAUUUCUUCCCUUUUAUAAAUCUCCUAAGUUUCGUGUCACCACUAUUUCUCAUAGGAUAACUGCAGGUGGUACGUUUAAGCAAGCUGAAAUAGAGUUACACAAGAAGUCAUUCCUGCUGUUUGUGAUCCACUUAAUUGCCAGCUUUGCUAGAUGACCCAUCAGGUAACCCCAAAACUUUUCUAAAGAAACAGAGCCAAAAUCAAGGGGCGAGAUUUGACUGUUGCCAGCAUGUCGCUGCGUUUUUCUGCCUUUCGGUACCGAUGGAUUCAUUUUCAGGCUUGCAAAGGCGGAAGGUCUUUGGCACCUUCAUCUCUCAGUUCCACAGCGAGCAGUUUCUCUAGACACAAUGGGAGUACGAAGAAGGCAAGCGGAGAAUUCUGGCUGCUAAUUAGUAAAUCUCUAUCUUAAAUUCUAUCCUAUUGGCUCUCCUCAACUCCAGGAAGUCUAAUUAGACAAUUUUCUGUCUGAUUUUCUCCCCAGAACUUAUGUGUCUUUGUAUCUUCUUAUUUCAAUGCCUAAUGAGAGGAAUUGGGUUUAUGCUUAUCAGCGGAUCUACUUGAGGUCUACAAAGCCAGUUCCGGAGUGAAAAAUCACGGGUAACAGCCCCAAUUAGGAGAAGGGGGAGUCUUUCUUCUAAAAGAACCUGAAGCAGUAGCCUGGUGACCUGUGCUUUGGCUUAGUUCUUGAUUUCAGUACCUAAGACAGAGAGGCUUUCCGACGAAACGAAUGAAAAGCCAUGAAGUAGUCUGUCCGAUGUGCUAAAGGCUUUGGAAAUGACUCAAACAUCACCACAAAGAAGAUUAUUAUAAUUGCUUCUUCUAUUGCAUUUUUAUGAGAGUAAUACCUUGUGUGGCCUAAAGAGCCCAUUAGAAAGGGUACGUUUUAAAAGACGGUCUAUGAGUGUCACAUGUUGUGUCUCAUGAAGUCACAGGUCAGAUUUUGUUUGCCUUUGUUUCGGCAUCCAGUGUCUGUUCAUCUCUCUUUUACUACCAACAAUUUGGGGAAUCCACUGUCCCCUUUUUGAGUAAAACUCCACUCUCCAACUCCAGAGUUACCCAGCUCCAUGUAACUUAAGUCAAUCAAAUCAUCGCAUGCCUUCUGGCUACCAAGAUUACUUUUUUUUUGUAAAUCCUUUUUUUUGUUUUUUUUAAGACUGGCACCUGAGCUAACAUCUGUUG